CAAUAGCGUAUAUUAAAGUUGUUGCGGUUAAAAAGCUCGUAGUUGGAUCUCGGCAGGCAGGGGGUGGUUCGCUCUUAGCGCUACUGCCCCAUUUGCCUGUGUGAUUGGCGGAGGUUUCGGGGUGCUCUUCGUUGAGUGACCCGGGGCGCCGUCAGGUUUACUUUGAAAAAAUUAGAGUGCUCAAAGCAGGCUUUUCACGCUUGAAUAUUCGUGCAUGGAAUAAUGGAAUAGGAACUCGUUCCUAUUUUGUUGGUUUUCGGAAAUCGAGUUAAUGAUUAAUAGGGACAAUUGGGGGCAUUAGUAUUCAGACGACAGAGGUGAAAUUCUUGGACCGUCUGAAGACUAACUACUGCGAAAGCAUUUGCCAAGAGUGUUUUCAUUAA
rnacentral:rRNA from 1 species